CGAGGAAAUAUGAGCCGCUUCUGGUUCUAUUUUCUUUUUCUAUUUUUCUCAAUUAAAAGCCCAAGCCUCAUCCUAUUUGUCUGUUGCGCGGUGUAGGUGUUCAUCCACUACUGGAAGCGAUAAAGAAAGACGCGGAGAAAGGGAGGGGACAAUGGCGAAAGAGGAGAGGAGGAUGAGGGAGGGAGCCAGCCAGGAGGGAAGGAAUAGGCCUAUAGGCAAAUAUACAGUCGAUGUCACAUAAUCUCGUGCCCUUGCACUGCCAAUCUGUGUGACGUGGUUCUGAGAUGUCGGAAUGUGCUGUUCUCGCAGCGGAGGUCGUUAGACGCACUGGAUGGGAUGGUUACGUUACCGGACAUUGAUAACCGCUGCAGACACACGCGUCCAGCGGGGGGCGAUAAGGGGAGUUUAUAAAAACAUGGUGAUGACUGACCAUGUCCAUUAGUACGAGGGACAACAACUCUGCGCGAGAGAAAGUGUGCCUUGAAAAACCCUAGCUCAGUAGUGUCUGAGUAGUGAAUAUUGUGUGUGUGUGUGUAGGCUAUAAUGGGUCUGGCACUGUCUGGCUGGCUGGGUGGCAUCCCAGCCAAGAUGAAGAAGGAUGCUCCCUCCUCUUCCUCCUUCCUCCCGCUGUCCAUCCCUACCUCCUCCCGCCUUUCACUGCUCCUAAACUCCUUUCCCAUUGCCCCUGGAGACCCCCGGUGCCGCUGGAGCCCCACACACUGUUCACCUCACUUCCUGCUGUCCCCGUGCGGGGAGGAAGUGACACGUGCACCCACCCAGCAGAGCA